UAUUAAUCGAAUCGCAUAGUCGAAAAUUAUAUUCCUUUUCCACAUAAAUUUUAGGUUCGAGAGAUUUGUGUCGCGAACUGAGCCAGAAUUGAACACUUCGGUGAACACACCAUUGCAGCAAAUUGUGCUUCUGAUCCGGAUAUAAUUAUGCAGUUUCCGGAUGUAAACAUUGGGCCGAAUUCACGACAGACAGAACCGCAAAAUACCAAGGGCUGUGGCAGGGGAAAAGCACCAUGGAAAGCAAAAGCCGCGGCGUGUGACCAUGAGGUUUCAGGCUAUGCAUUCGCAGAGCUAUUUCCAGCAAUUAAGCUUCUGUCCAGGAAUUAACCUACAUUUGGCUCCAUGUACAAAAAAACAACCAUGUAGAUCCGAAAGAUCGCGCUUCGCGGGACGGCACCAUUCAAACACUUCCGGAAACACAUGUGGAGAAAAAAAACCUUCCUCCAAGUGAUUAUAUUUUUACGGAGGAUAAACCGAAAUCCCGUAAGUUUUCCAUUCAUGGAUUCGCGGAGCUCGUAGUACGCGAGUACAAAACAGGAUUUGACAUCUUCUCAUCGCCACAUCGGAAGCACGCAUCGGAAAACUGGUAUCGACAGAAUUAUGGGCACCGUUGGUCUCUCUUUCUGGUUCUCUCAUCAACUUUUGUCUAGCCCCAGUUUUUCUCAAACUAAAAUGAUAAAUAUCUGUUGAAAUUUAUUAUUAAAUAUAUUACAAAAUACAAAACA